rnacentral:lncRNA from 1 species
AUCUUCUUGCAAAGUUUCUUUUCAGCUAUAUCUGGAUUUUCACAUGGUGAGAUUGCACAUAAUGAAACAUAGCUGCAUGGAUAGAAUGACAUCAGGCUCAUGCUAUGUACUUCCAAUGAAGUAACUUCCCAUUUAGUCAGCACCGCUUAAGAGUCUAUACCACAACACUCUGACCACUGGGGGCCCACCCACAGAAAGAGAAUUUGGAGCAGGUCCAAAGAAGAGCAAUGAAAAUGAUUAAACGGUUGAAAAGUUAUCUCUCCGAAGAAAGGUCACGGGAACUGGGCCUCUUUUGUGUAGAAAUAUGAAGGGGCAAACCUACCAACAUAUUUCAAGGAUGUGAAAAGGAAUGUGCAGAGAUAUUGAAAUAUAUUGGCAAACAAAGCAUGUGGGAAGAGUAAUCCAGGUCUGCUGAGACUUCCUCAAGGAUCCAAAAGAAACCAAUUCCCGGAAAGAAGCCCACUUACCAGAGACCAACCACACCGUCUAGACUGCCUAAGUUGGUGAGACGACUGUCUUCAUUUCAGUUCCUCAGUGGAAAAAUAAAUUCAAAAGGCGUCUUCACCAUACAAGGAAUUCUUUGUUCAGACUGGCUACUGACAUUCCAAACAAACUUACACUCAAGAUAAGGUUAUCCUCUCAGAGAACUCAGACGCUUUUUUCUUCCCCAUCAUCAACUUGCCAACAUUAAAAGCA